AGAGUUUGAUCAUGGCUCAGAACGUACGCUGGCGGCACGCCUUAUACAUGCAAGUCGAACGAAGUAGCAAUACUUAGUGGCAGACGGGUGAGUAACAUGUGGGUAUCUUCCCUUUGGUGAGGAAUAACACGAGGAAACUUGUGCUAAUACCUCAUAAGUCUUUACGGAGAAAGCUUUAUGCGCCAAUGGAUGAGCCCGCACUUGAUUAGUUUGUUGGUGGGGUAAUGGCCUACCAAGACUUUGAUCAAUAGCUGAUCUGAGAGGAUGAUCAGCCACAUUGGGACUGAGACACGGCCCAAACUCCUACGGGAGGCAGCAGUAGGGAAUAUUGCACAAUGGAGGAAACUCUGAUGCAGCGAUGCCGCGUGAGUGAAGAAGGCCUUUGGGUUGUAAAGCUCUUUCGUCGGGGAAGAAAAUGACUGUACCCGAAUAAGAAGGUCCGGCUAACUUCGUGCCAGCAGCCGCGGUAAUACGAAGGGACCUAGCGUAGUUCGGAAUUACUGGGCUUAAAGAGUUCGUAGGUGGUUAAAAAAGUUGGUUGUGAAAUCCCGAAGCUUAACUUCGGAACUGCAAUCAAAACUUUUUAGCUAGAGUAUGAUAGAGGAAAGCAGAAUUUCUAGUGUAGAGGUGAAAUUCGUAGAUAUUAGAAAGAAUACCAAUUGCGAAGGCAGCUUUCUGGAUCAUUACUGACACUGAGGAACGAAAGCAUGGGUAGCGAAGAGGAUUAGAUACCCUCGUAGUCCAUGCCGUAAACGAUGUGUGUUAGACGUUGGAAAUUAAUUUUUAGUGUCGCAGCGAAAGCAAUAAACACACCGCCUGGGGAGUACGACCGCAAGGUUAAAACUCAAAUGAAUUGACGGGGACCCGCACAAGUAGUGGAGCAUGUGGUUUAAUUCGAAGAUACGCGCAGAACCUUACCAACACUUGACAUGUUCGUCGCGACUCUAAGAGAUUAGAGUUUUCGGUUCGGCCGGACGAAACACAGGUGCUGCAUGGCUGUCGUCAGCUCGUGUCGUGAGAUGUUGGGUUAAGUCCCGCAACGAGCGCAACCCUCACUUUUAGUUGCCAUCAUUUAGUUGGGCACUCUGAAAGAACUGCCAGUGAUAAGCUGGAGGAAGGUGGGGAUGACGUCAAGUCCU
rnacentral:rRNA from 1 species